UACGUAGGGUGCAAGCGUUAUCCGGAAUUAUUGGGCGUAAAGAGCUCGUAGGCGGUUUGUCGCGUCUGCUGUGAAAACUGGAGGUUCAACCUCCAGCCUGCAGUGGGUACGGGCAGACUAGAGUGCGGUAGGGGAGAUUGGAAUUCCUGGUGUAGCGGUGAAAUGCGCAGAUAUCAGGAGGAACACCGGUGGCGAAGGCGGGUCUCUGGGCCGAUACUGACGCUGAGGAGCGAAAGCGUGGGGAGCGAACAGG
rnacentral:rRNA from 1 species